ACUCCUACGGGAGGCAGCAGUGGGGAAUUUUGGACAUGGGCGAAAGCCUGAUCCAGCCCUGCCGCGUGCGGGAAGAAGGCCUUCGGGUUGUAAACCGCUCUUGUCGGGGAAGAAAAGCCUUGGGUUAAUACCCUGGGGUGAUGACGGUACCCGAAGAAUAAGCACCGGCUAACUACGUGCCAGCAGCCGCGGUAAUACGUAGGGUGCAAGCGUUAAUCGGAAUUACUGGGCGUAAAGCGUGCGCAGGCGGUUGUGUAAGACAGAUGUGAAAUUCCCAGGCUUAACCUGGGCGCUGCAUCUGAAACUGCAAGACUUGAGUACUGGAGAGGAUAGUGGAAUUCCUAGUGUAGCGGUAAAAUGCGCAGAUAUUAGGAGGAACACCGGUGGCGAAGGCGACUAUCUGGACAGUAACUGACGCUGAGGCGCGAAAGCGUGGGGAGCAAACAGGAUUAGAUACCCUGGUAGUC
rnacentral:rRNA from 1 species